AGAUGGAGUCAAGUCAAUCUGUUUGUAUACCAGAUACAUCUAUGAUAUACAUGCAGCUACUAUCUGAUUAUGUAUCAAUUAAAUAGAUCAUAAAUGUGGAACGAUGGGGACUUUGAGAGAUUUGUAACUGAAGCUGCCUUCAUGCUUGUUAGAAUGCUGGGGUGGAAGAGUUCCCAGUUUUAAAGGAGAAGUACAAGAAGACCUGUAAUUGUUAGCAAGAUAUACAGAACACAGUGCACACAGCAGCGCACUUCUCAAGUCAGCUCCAGGUUCAAGCUCAAAGGCCUAAAGUUUUGCAAACAUCUGGUGAAGAGGAAGAUUUUUGAGACUCUCCCAGCCUAUUACAUAAAGGAAACAUAACCGAGAAUUUUGUCUAAAGGUUUUCAUUUGAAACAAAGCAAGAGCUUCUUUUCCCCACUCCGAAUUAAAACACAGCGCAACAGGGGCCACAUUUAUUUGGCAGGACAGUACCAAUAUGUGAACAUCCUCCUCCUCACUGCCGUUGGGGUGACUUGACUCAUAAGCAGCUGUUCUUACACAAAAUAUUAACCCGAACUGCUAGUGUCACACAGAAGGAAGUGGUCUUGAUUGUGUAUGUGGGCCAGCAUGUUCUACAAAUGCUGAAAGGUGGGAGAAGCACAAAUACAACCCACUCUUUAAAAAAACUAAAUAAUUCAAAGUAAAAUUUUCUAUCCCCGCCCCCUCCCCACCCUUGCCUUCUCCAAUAAUAAAAAGUAGAAUCCA
rnacentral:lncRNA from 1 species